rnacentral:rRNA from 1 species
GUUCCUUGGAAAAGGACAGCUGAGAGGGUGAGACUCCCGUCCGCCUGGUAGAGUGAGUCAUGUGUCAACGAGUCGAGUUGUUUGGGAUUGCAGCUCUAAUUUGGUGGUAAAUUCCAUCUAAAGCUAAAUAUUGGUGGGAGACCGAUAGCGUACAAGUACCGUGAGGGAAAGAUGCAAAGAACUUUGAAAAGAGAGUUAAAGAGUACCUGAAAUUGCUGAAACGGAAGCGAAGGAAACCAGUGUUUGUUGGUUCAUAUUUCCCUGGCCACUUGUGGUUUGGGCGCUGUGAGCUUGCGUGUGUUUGUCUUGGUUGAUCCCUUUGGAAGAGCGCAGUCAGAGUUGAUGUCU